AAUAAUGACAUCGACAUGAAUUUACUGGAAGGAGAGAGUAAGGAAGAGAGGACAUUUCAGAACUGCAUGAAUUCCUUGGGAGUCAACCCAUACAUUAAUCAUUUGUACAGUGACCUUGCAGAUGCUUUAGUGAUCUUUCAGCUCUAUGAGAUUAUACAAGUGCCAGUCAACUGGAGCCAUGUCAAUAAACCUCCUUAUCCUGCCCUUGGAGGGAACAUGAAGAAGAUUGAAAACUGAAACUAUGCAGUGGAACUUGGGAAGAACAAGGCCAAAUUCUCCUUGGCUGGCAUUGCUGCGCAGGACCUAAAUGAAGGGAAUUCAACUCUUACGCUGGCAUUGGUAUGGCAGCUGAUGAGAAGGUACACAUUGAAUGUGUUAUCGGAUCUUGGAGAGGGUGAAAAAGUAAAUGAUGAAAUUAUUAUUAAAUGGGUCAAUCAGACUCUUAAAAGUGCAAACAAAAAUACUUCUAUUUCCAGAUUCAAGGAUAAAUCUAUAAGCACAAGUUUACCUGUCCUAGAUUUAAUAGACGCCAUUGCACCAAAUGCAAUUCGUCAAGAAAUGAUCAAGAGAGAAAGCUUAUCUGAUGAGGACAAGCUGAACAAUGCUAAAUAUGCCAUUUCAGUUGCUCAAAAGAUCGGUGCCCAGAUAUAUGCAUUACCUGAUGACCUCGUAGAAGUGAAACCAAAGAUGAUUAUGACGGUGUUUGCAUGCUUAAUUGGAAAAGGACUGAACAGAAUAAAAUAAUCAUUUCAUAUGAUUUUCUGCCACAUUAAACAUAUUCUAUGCCUGACAGUUUACAGAAUUCUAAAAUGUAGUGGGUAUAAAA